rnacentral:rRNA from 1 species
GUGCCAGCCGCCGCGGUAAUACGUAGGGAGCGAGCGUUGUCCGGAUUUAUUGGGCGUAAAGCGCGCGUAGGCGGUUUGGUAAGCCGGGUGUGAAACCCUCGAGCUCAACUCGGGGCGGCCACUCGGAACUGCUAUGACUUGAGUCUGGUAGGGGAACACGGAAUACCUGGUGUAGCGGUGAAAUGCUUAGAUAUCAGGUGGAACACCAGUGGCGAAGGCGGUGUUCUGGGCCAGUACUGACGCUGAGGCGCGAAAGCGUGGGGAGCGAACAGGAUUAGAAACCCGGGUAGUCC